UACGGAGGGAGCUAGCGUUGUUCGGAAUUACUGGGCGUAAAGCGCACGUAGGCGGCUUUUUAAGUCAGGGGUGAAAUCCCGGGGCUCAACCUCGGAACUGCCCUUGAAACUGGGAAGCUAGAAUCUUGGAGAGGCGAGUGGAAUUCCGAGUGUAGAGGUGAAAUUCGUAGAUAUUCGGAAGAACACCAGUGGCGAAGGCGACUCGCUGGACAAGUAUUGACGCUGAGGUGCGAAAGCGUGGGGAGCAAACAGG
rnacentral:rRNA from 1 species